rnacentral:rRNA from 1 species
AAGGGUGCGUAGGCGGCUUUUUAAGUCAGUGGUGAAAUCCUGCCGCUUAACGGUAGAAUUGCCAUUGAUACUGAAAGGCUUGAGUUCAGUUGAGGUAAGCGGAAUGUGUAGUGUAGCGGUGAAAUGCUUAGAUAUUACACAGAACACCAAUUGCGAAGGCAGCUUACUAAACUGACACUGACGCUGAUGCACGAAAGCGUGGGGAGCGAACAGGAUUGGAUACCCUGGUAGUCCACGCCGUAAACGAUGUUCACUCGCUGUUUGCGAUACACAGCAAGCGGCCAAGCGAAAGCAUUAAGUGAACCACCUGGGGAGUACGAUCGCAAGGUUGAAACUCAAAGGAAUUGACGGGGGCCCGCACAAGCGGAGGAACAUGUGGUUCAAUUCGAUGAUACGCGAGGAACCUUACCUGGGCUUAAAUGUAGAACGACAGAUUGUGAAAGCAGUCCUUCUUCGGACGUUUUACAAGGUGCUGCAUGGUUGUCGUCAGCUCGUGCCGUGAGGUGUCGGGUUAAGUCCCAUAACGAGCGCAACCCUUAUCGUUAGUUGCCAGCGGGUCAAGCCGGGGACUCUAGCGAGACUGCCACCGUAAGGUGUGAGGAAGGUGGGGAUGACGUCAAAUCAGCACGGCCCUUAUGUCCAGGGCUACACACGUGUUACAAUGGCCGGUACAAAGGGCAGCUACUUCGCGAGAAGAUGCUAAUCUCGAAAGCCGGUCUCAGUUCGGAUCGAAGUCUGCAACCCGACUUCGUGAAGCUGGAUUCGCUAGUAAUCGCAUAUCAGCCAUGAUGCGGUGAAUACGUUCCCGGGCCUUGUACACACCGCCCGUCAAACAAUGGAAGCUGGGGGUACCUGAAGUCUGUAACCGCAAGGAGC